CAGAGAGACAGGGAGAGAGCGAGAAUCCCAAGCAGACUCUGAACUGUCAGCAGCGGAGCCCAAUGUGGGGACUCAAACCCAUGAACCCGUGACCCAACCUGCAGUUGGAUGCCUCACUGACUGAGCCACCCAGGUGCUCCUGGGAAGCCAUUUCUAAGAUCGAGAUUGAAGGACAGGCAGUUUAUUAGUGAGUGCUCUUGGGAUUGGGAAUUGCAGAAAGAAAGGAGGCAAGAUUGGCCAGAUGGAAAAGUUGAUUGCUGAGCAGUCACAGUGCUUCAACUAAUUGUGAAGGGAACUCUGAAAAAAGGUUACUAUCUCACCCUCUGGAGAGCCAGUGUUUUACCAAGGCAUGUGACAUACUUGCUACUUCCUGCUGAACCAGUCCAUGUUGCAUGAUGUUAUCAACAUAGCAGCUCAAUAUAGUGAUGCUCUGAGAGAUGCCUAGCUGGUUAGGUCUCUUCAGAUCGUGUAAUGACAGAGAGCAGAAGAGCAAACAUACCCCUCGGGGAUGGAAAAGAAUGCAUUUGCCAGAUCAAGGAUUGCAUACCAUGUACCUGUUCAUCUGCUCUAGCAAUGAUACCACAUCAGGCAAGGCAGCUACAAGUAAGGCUACUACGUGGCUGGAUUUACAAUAGUUCACACACAUCCUCCAGUAUCUGUCUGGUUUUCACAAGGACCAGAAAUUGGUGAAUUAAAUGAAGAUAUUAUGGAGACUA